ACAACGUUUUACAGGUUGCAUUGAACUCCGAUUUUUUAAUUUCGAUUUCUAGUAAGGUAUAAAAAAAAAAUGGCAAAAAACAUUAUCAUUAUUUCCGUAGAGUGUAUUUUCGUUUGCAAAACGACAUUGGCACCGGGCACCUUAAUCGGUUACGCUCUUAGGCUCAACUAGAUCACCAACUUUGGGGGUGCUUAAGUUAUAAACACAUCACAGACUCAUGACUUCAAGAG